UACAGAGGGGGCAAGCGUUGUUCGGAAUUACUGGGCGUAAAGGGCGCGUAGGCGGCCGCCUAGGUCAGACGUGAAAUCCCUCGGCUCAACCGGGGAACUGCGUCUGAUACUGGGUGGCUUGAAUCCGGGAGAGGGAUGCGGAAUUCCAGGUGUAGCGGUGAAAUGCGUAGAUAUCUGGAGGAACACCGGUGGCGAAGGCGGCAUCCUGGACCGGCAUUGACGCUGAGGCGCGAAAGCCAGGGGAGCAAACGGG
rnacentral:rRNA from 1 species